AACUACAAUAGAUGUCCGCCAGGGUACUACGAGCAUUAGCUUAAAACCCAAAGGACCUGACGGUGUCUCAGACCCCCCUAGAGGAGCCUGUUCUAGAACCGAUAACCCCCGUUCAACCUCACCACUCCUAGCCAACCCAGCCUAUAUACCGCCGUCGUCAGCUUACCCUGUGAAGGUAAUAAAAGUAAGCAAAAUGGGUACAACCCAAAACGUCAGGUCGAGGUGUAGCGCAUGAAGUGGGAAGAAAUGGGCUACAUUUUCUAACGUAGAAUAUUACGAACAUGCACCAUGAAACAGUGCUUGAAGGAGGAUUUAGUAGUAAAAGGGAAAUAGAGUGUCCCUUUGAACCCGGCUCUGAGACGCGUACACACCGCCCGUCACUCUCCCCUGUCAAAAUGCACCAAAAAUAUCUAAUAUAAUAGCACUGACAAGGGGAGGCAAGUCGUAACACGGUAAGUGUACCGGAAGGUGCACUUGGAUCAAAC
rnacentral:rRNA from 1 species